rfam:Chlamydotis undulata macqueenii contig26757, whole genome shotgun sequence.
CAAACGGCUCUUUUAAGAGCCCCCCACAUUUUCUUAAAAAGGGCUG